ensembl:antisense 1700036G14Rik RIKEN cDNA 1700036G14 gene
AGGUAACUGUUGGGCGGAGCGUAGAAGGAAUACCAACAACAGAUAAGCCAUUACAACAGUCUUGAGAAGACAGGAAAGGCAGCCUAGGAUAACCGAACCUCAUGCUUGUCAGCACUUAGCUCCAGCGGCAACCGGAGCUAUGAGAGUACUGAGGACCAGACAAGAGGAUAGAAUCGAUACUUGGCCUAUAGAUGGAGGAAGAGCAAAGCCCAUGGUUCUCAACUGAGUCUGACUUGAAUCUCUAACGACUUGGGGAGCAGCUGAGAAGGUCCCAGGGCUUUGGGCUGCUUUCAGGUAUCCUAUCAGUGGAUGCUCAGAGUGAUUCAGCUCCUAAUUGAUCGGGCCACUGCUACAGUUCCAAGCUCAUUUCAUAGUUAGAAGAAACAGUCUCACCUGGCUGCAAUUGGAUCAAGAUGCAGAACUCUCAGAUCCUUCACCAGUACCAUAUCUGCCUACAUGCUGCUAUGUUCCCUGCUAUUGAUGAUAUUGGACCAGACCUGAAACUGCAAGCCAGCCCCAAUUAAAUCUUGUUCUUUAUAAGA